rnacentral:rRNA from 1 species
AUACGGAGGAUCCGAGCGUUAUCCGAUUUAUUGGGUUUAAAGGGUGCGCAGGCGGCCCAUUAAGUCAGCGGUUAAAUUGUGGGGCUCCACCCCCUUCUGCCGGUUAUAAUUGGUGGCUUGAUUGCGGUCGAGGUUGGCGGAAUUUGUUUUGUAGCGGGGAAAUGCAUAGAUAUGACGAAGAACACCGAUUGCGUAGGCAGCUGACCAGACCGCAAAUGACGCUCAUGCACGAAAGUGCGGGGAUCGAACAGGAUUAGAUACCCUGGUAGUCCGCACAGUAAACGAUGAAUACUUGUUUUCGGCGAUAUAAUGUCGGAGGCAAAGCGAAAGCGAUAAGUAUUCCACCUGGGGAGUACGCCGGCAACGGUGAAACUCAAAUGAAUUGACGGGG